rnacentral:rRNA from 1 species
CAAUAGCGUAUACUAACGUUGUUGCAGUUAAAAAGCUCGUAGUUGGAUUUCUGACGGUGGUUGGAUUGGUGCGACCGCGUGUUGCAUCAACCAUACUAUUGACAACACAUGCGAUGAGUUGGUGUGGUCAAUUUAGUUUGAUCCGCCAUUUAAUCGCUCGUUUACUUUGAGAAAAUUAGAGUGUUCAAAGCAGGCAUCUUGCCUUGAAUAUGUUAGCAUGGAAUAAUAGCAUAGGACUUUGGUUCUAUUUGUUGGUUGUUCGAGAACCGGAGUAAUGAUUGAUAGGGACGGUUGGGGGCAUCCGUAUUCUCAAGCGAGAGGUGAAAUUCUUGGACCUUGGGAAGACGAACAGCUGCGAAAGCGUUUGCCUAGGACGUUCUCUUUAA